rnacentral:misc_RNA from 1 species
GUCGUCGGCCGCCCGCCCAGCUGCGCACGCGCUCCUUCACGCCACAACACUACAGAAUUCACUCGAGUUGGAUCCACGUUACGUUUCGCCUAAUGGAAGAGAGCUGAUGUUUUGGCAACAUGUCUUUUAGAAAUUAUUAUGAUACGCCAUCCUACGGCCGGAGUCGAGACACCGGAAGAACUUCGACGAGUACCGCCGCGGAUCGGCCGACUACAGUCACAGCGAAGUACCUCAACACAACACCGUCUUACAAGUCGUCAAGCAUCCCUAUACUGUGCCCUGAACGCUCGGCAAAAGAAGAUACCCCGAUAUCAACUAUUGCUAAUCGAUACGCAAACUAUGGUAAAACGGAAAAACCCACGACAAAAUACGAUGCCUACAAUACAACCAAGGUGGAAAAAUCUCCGAACAAAUACGAUUCGUACAGUAGUAGUAAAUCAGACAAAUCUGCAAACAAAUAUGAUACCUACAAUUCUAACAAAACAGAUAAACCUUCAAGUAAAUAUGAUGCAUAUAGUAGUAGCAAAACAGAAAAACCUGUUUCUAAAUACGAUGCAUAUAGUACAACUAAAACCGAGAAACCUAUAUCGAAAUAUGAAAAGAAAGACUAUUCAAAACUUACCGUACCAUCUAUCACGACGAAUAAAAGUAGAGACGUAAGUCCCGUUUCGACAUCGAAAUACAGUCUGAGCCGACCUUCUCGGCAUUUAAGUCCAGAGAGAAGAGCAACGAAAACGUUCAAAGAUAAAAGCCGAGAUCCUAGCCCAGGGGAUCACGACAAAGACAUUCCAAGCAAGACUGACAAGUCUACAGGCUAUAAUAGCCUGUCGAGUUACAAGUUAUAUCCUCGAACUUCAAAUUACACACGACCUGCAUCUAGAGCAGAGGCUAAACCAGAAAUUACAGUUAACAGAUACGCUAUAGCAAAUAGACUGUCCUCAAAUUAUCUAAGAAGUCCACCGACUGUUAAACGAACAUCUGUAUCACCAGUCAAUCACAAUGAAACUGUUAAAUGUGAGGUAGAUAAAUGUAUAUCACAGCCUUCUACCGUAGAAGAAAUAAAACCACAAAACGAACCAGUUAGCUCAAAUAAUGAAGUUUUAAAUACAAACGACAAACAAACUGAAGAAAAUGAAAAUGAGACUGAAACUGUUUCUAUUGUAACACGACACACUUCUCCAACGCCACCCGGUUCUUCUGCUUAUGUUCGAAGUAGAAGGGCAGACAUGGCCAAAACGAUAGAAAAAUCUAUAACGAGACCGAAGAAGAGACCAGAAAUGAUUGACAAAGAAAUCCAGUCUGAUCGAUUAGAUGAUCCAACGAGAUCAAGUAGAUUCGGUAGUACGGCAAGAACAAGCGUUACAAAUUGGUCUUACUAUACACCAAAUUCUAACAGCUACACGGGGUAUGCCGGCAGAUAUUCAACUCAAUAUUCAAACAUAAGAGAUAGUUCAGGUAGUAAUUCAUAUUCUCCCAGUGAAAGGACUGGGCGAAGUCAAAGUACUGAACCCGAACGAAGAGAUAAUUCAAAUUGCAAUUCCUUAUCAGAAAGUAACAAUAUAGACUGCAAUGUAUCAAAUCAUAUAGGUGAAAAUGAACAAGAAGUCGUUUCAGUUUAUGCUUCUGAACAAAAUAAAGGUGAUGACACAUCAGAAAUAAUAAUUAAUGUGAACUUAAAAUUAAAAAGAGCUAAAAGUCCUGUAGCGUCUACUGAACUCGUUUCACCUGAAAUCACAAUAACAAACAGUCAGUUGCCACCACAAGCACCUAAACCCGACGGAGCGACAAAGACUAAAAAGAUUAAAGUAAAAAAAUCUAGCGCAGAUUCAUCAUCAGAUUCGAGUGGUAAAAAAAAGAUAAUAAAAAGGAGAAGUAAAUCAGUGAGCUCUACAGAUUCAGAUCAAGGAAGCGAAGUUAGUGACAAAGGAUCUCCUCCAAAAAGUUUGCAAAAGAACUCGUCAAGUAGUAACUUACAAAAUGGACCUUCAAAAUUGAAACAUUCCAAAUCACGGGAGAGUGCAAGUCCAGAAUCAAGUAUCACUUUAUCAACGCAAUCAUCUAUUAGUGAGGAUGAAACGGUGUCUAAGUCUAAAACUAAUGAAGUAUCCAGAACUUCUGCUGACGAGUUAUCUAUUCCAACUGAUAGAUCAGGAAAGCAGCCAUCACCACUACCACCACAAAAGAAUGAAACUGGUACUGAAGAAGCUAAGUCGUUUUUAAUAAGAGCAUUGGCACCCGUUACGAAUCUUUUUAAAAUGAGACAUCAGGAAAGCAGUGAUAAUAGUCGUUGGUUAGAAACUUCUACUUCAGAGUCAACAGGAAAAGACGUUUCAAAUAUAACCACAGAGAGUGAACGGUUAAGUAAAGGAAAGAAUGAUACAACGAACAUCAUAGCAUCAAAUGAGGAUAAUCUAGUUAAACUCAAAUCAAUAAGACCCAUAGAAUCUGGAGAACGAGCAUGGUGGCUAGAUUCUGAAUCGAAAAAUAGCACACAAAACAACAGUGAACAUACAAGGUCUCCAUCAGAAAAGAACAUUCCUAGAAAGAUAAGACAUGUUGAAUCCGGAGAAAAAGCGUGGUGGCUAGAAUCUAAUAGUGAAAAUAAACAAGACAACCAAAUGGUUCGUAAUAACACAAUAGAGAGUUCUGAUUCAAACAGACUUCCAAAGAAAUGUAAAUUUGCUGAUGAUGAAAAGCCGUGGUGGUUAGAUAGCUGUGCAAAUAUACCUGAAGGGGUAGAACGGCUAAGUCCACCGAGGAAGUCUUCCAGUGACAGCGAGAAGAGUGAAAAGUUCAACUUUUUCAAAGUGCGCCAUAAUGAAUCUGGAGAGCAAAAAGACUGGUGGCUCACAAGCAAUGAAAACUCAACCAAUAGUAGUAAACCGGAACAUAAUCAAAUGCUUAGCAAAUCUGGUUCAGAAAGGAGCUUCCCCCUCAGACGGAUACGACACAUAGAAUCUGGAGAAAGACCUUGGUGGUUGGCAAGUGACAAAAACAUUCCCGAAGGUAUAGAAAAGCUGCCAACGCCUCCACCACCACCAGAAGAAAGUGACUCAUCUGAUUCGGAAGUCCAAGCCUACGUUCCACCUGCACAUAUACCUCCGUUUCCUUUACAUUUGCCUGAUGAUGAACCGUUGGGUACUAGGAGAAGUCCCGAGGGCUUAGAAACGCCAAGAGAGAAUGAAGACUAUAGAGGACGCACGUCACCUUACGAAAAUAGCAAUCAUCAAUUCAGGAGGCCUUCAACCAACUCCUACCAAAAAGGCGUAAACAAAUACAUUUCUCGUUAUACUGACAUAGACGAUAUUCUUGGUACAUCUGGACAAAUAUAUAGUCCAUUUAUGGACUCGAUACUGGCAAGAAGGACCGGUCAGAUGCCUUAUGAUGACAAUGAUACGUGUGAAGAAAUAGAUCCAACUCAAGUCAGAAUCCACGAUAGUACGGCGCAACGGCCAGUUAUUAAGAAGAUUCGUUCCAGAAGUAGUAUUGUCGACUACCGGGAGGAGGAUCAACUCGAUGACGCCACUUUACAAGUCUUCAAAGAUGGUGACUACGGGCCUUAUCUGGACCUGGAUUCCACGCUCGGUGAGCAAGAUGAGGAGCUUGAAGGACUUCAAGACAGUCGCAAAAAUGCCUUGGUCCUUCGCACCCAGUUGUCUGUGCGCGUCCACGCUAUUAUUGAAAGACUACUUCACUCUCAAGGACGCGAGUUACGGAGGGCACUAUUUACGCUAAAACAGAUCUUGCAAUCAGACAAGGAUUUGGUGCACGAGUUCGUCGCCAACAAAGGAUUGGACUGUCUGAUGCAAGUCGGCAAUAUGGCGGACCAUAACUAUCUGGAUUACAUACUGCGAGCUCUUGGACAGAUACUGCUGUACGUUGACGGCAUGCAUGGAGUAAUGGCCCACAAACGCUGCAUCCAAUGGCUCUACACGCUCAUCGCUAGCAAAUUCCGGCACGUCGUCAAAACCGCUCUCAAACUCCUUCUAGUCUUCGUGGAAUACACUGAAAAGAACUGCCUCCUCCUCAUAGAUGCUAUUAUAUCUGUGGACAACUCCAACGGCCGACAGCCUUGGCACAACAUUAUGAAAAUUCUGCAAGACUUUGACGCAUCAGACACAGAACUUCUAAUAUACGCCACUACUUUGAUAAAUAGGUGUCUAAACAAUGUGCCCGAUAGAGACACUUACUACGACCAAGUAGAUGCCUUGCAGGAUCAAGGCAUAGAUGACAUUAUACAACUGUACAUGUCAAAGCAAGGGACGGAUUUGGAUCUGCUGAGACAGCUGCAGAUAUUCGAAGCUGUGCUGCUGUAUGAAGAUGGUGAUGAAACUGGAACUGCUCUGAAGCAACUAGAUGACUCCGUGAUCAAUUCAAUUCGCCGCAGAAGCAUUAACCUAAGUACUGAAAGAAGAAAAUCUAAAAAGCAACAAUGCAAAGAAAAAGCAAAACCAGUCAUCACUCACACAGAAACAGAAAACAAAAUAACGAAUAACCAUCGCACACAAUUCUUACCCUCCAUCACCGAUCAUAACAAAGAGAACAAAGAACUGAGCUCAGCAUUACGUCGGCGACGAGACCGAUACGCGAGGCAAGCCCACCACAUCAUACAACAACAAGAGCUGAUGAACCACUCCAGUGAUAUCUACAACGGCCUCUUCCCAAAUCCUAAUGAAAGUUUCACGAGCACUAAUGGAAGUUUUACAAGUACAAAUGGAAAUUAUUACACCCCUAACGGAACCUUAAACAAUGCAAAUGGUAGCUUCACGAGCCCAAAUGGCAGCUUUACAAGUUUGAAUGGAACUUUCACAAGCGUCAAUGGAAGUUUCUCAAGUGGCAACGUAAGCUUUCCAAGUCUGAUUGGCAACUACACAAACACAAAUGGGAGUUUUUCUAGUACGAUUAGUAACUACACUAAUGGAUCAUACACGAACAAUAAGAGUUACUCAGCUGUAAAUGGGAACAUCAAUGUUACAAGUCAAUUAAAUGGAGCCAACGGCCACCAAGAAGAAGACGAUAAAUACGUUACUAGAACGACGAAGAAUUUUAACUUAGCAGAUGUUUUAAAGAAUGGAAGCCAAAGAUAUACAUCAGGCCUAAAACAGAGGAUCCAAAAUGGAACACUAGGCCAUACUGUGAACGCUGUAGAUGCGAUAACCGUAAUGCGUCAAAAGCAGACUGAUCCCACCCCAGAGGUGAAAGACGAUCGGGGUUUCCUGCUAAACAGAGAACACAGUAUCAAAGAUCUGGCGCAGAGGCUGACCAGCCCGGUCAGCCCUACCACUGAAGAAAAACCUUUGAGGGUUUCUGAUAUGGCGGGAAUUGUGUCGAAAGCCAAAGAAGAACUAGCUAAAUCUCAAUCAAAAGAAAUUAUAAAAAGCCCAACAAUAGAAAAAUCCCCAAAAGUACACGAAAUAAAAGUAUCGGAGAAUGAUCUACACUGGGAAGAACUCAGAAAAGGCUGUCUUCACAGAGAAUUUCAUCUGUGCGACUUGGACUUCUCGGAUCUUCGCGAGGACUCGGACGACGAGAUGUCAUCGCCUGCAAUAACCGCAGCCAGCGGUCCUCCACCUCCGCCACCAACAAUGUUCCCUCCAAUGGGAAUACCUCCACCUCUACCGGGCUGUUUCCCAAUGCUAUCCAAAAACAACAUUCCCAAUCCACCUAAGCCAGCACUAUCUUCAGAAAUGUCAAACGAUUCUGACAGUUCCACGAUCAAAAAGAAUAAGAAAACUGUGAAGCUAUUUUGGAAGGAGAUUCAAGAGAAUCCAACACCAGUUGCCAUUAGGCCGAAGGUUGGAGGAUUCAUAUGGGAUGACCUGCCUAACGUGACAGUAGAUACCAAUAUGUUAGAGCACCUGUUUGAGUCCAGGACCAACGACUUAAUAAUCAAAGUAAAAGCUAAUGGAACCAAAGAGAAACCUCAUUUUAGACGCUAAAAGAUCCAAUGCUAUUAAUAUAGCAAUGAAAAAAUUACCUACGCCUCAGACUAUAAAGGCAGCUAUUAUGAAGAUGGACGCUACCGUAAUAGGCAGAGAAGGGAUCGAAAAACUGCUCACCAUGUUACCAACAGAGGAAGAAAAAGUAAAAAUUCAAGAAGCACAGUACGCCAAUCCUGAUUUGCCUUUGGGCAGCGCCGAACAGUUCCUACUCACCUUGGCCUCUAUUAAUGAACUAUCAUCCCGACUAAAACUUUGGGUAUUCAAAUUGGAUUUUGACAAUUUAGAG